GAUGAACGCUGGCGGCGUGCCUAAUACAUGCAAGUCGAGCGAACAGAUGAGGAGCUUCCUCCUCUGACGUUAGCGGCGGACGGGUGAGUAACACGUGGAUAACCUACCUAUAAGACUGGGAUAACUUCGGGAAACCGGAGCUAAUACCGGAUAAUAUAUUGAACCGCAUGGUUCAAUAGUGAAAGACGGUUUUGCUGUCACUUAUAGAUGGAUCCGCGCCGCAUUAGCUAGUUGGUAAGGUAACGGCUUACCAAGGCAACGAUGCGUAGCCGACCUGAGAGGGUGAUCGGCCACACUGGAACUGAGACACGGUCCAGACUCCUACGGGAGGCAGCAGUAGGGAAUCUUCCGCAAUGGGCGAAAGCUUGACGGAGCAACGCCGCGUGAGUGAUGAAGGUCUUCGGAUCGUAAAACUCUGUUAUUAGGGAAGAACAAAUGUGUAAGUAACUAUGCACGUCUUGACGGUACCUAAUCAGAAAGCCACGGCUAACUACGUG
rnacentral:rRNA from 1 species